rnacentral:rRNA from 1 species
GGCAACAUGAGAGUCCAACUGUCUCUUAUAACAAAUCAAUUAAACUGAUCCCCUAGUACAAAAGCUAGAAUAUCUACAUAAGACCAGAAGACCCUGUGAAGCUUUAACUAACCUAUUAAACCCUAUAAUAGCUAGUUUCGGUUGGGGCGACCUUGGAACAAAAAAAAACUUCCAAACAUGCAUCUUACCUGCACCAAAGGCCAACAAGCCACAAUUAGACCCAGUUUUAACCUGACAAAUGAACCAAGUUACUCCAGGGAUAACAGCGCUAUCUUCUUCAAGAGCCCAUAUCAAAAAGAAGGUUUACGACCUCGAUGUUGGAUCAGGACAUCCUAGCAAUGCAACCGUUACUAAGGGUUCGUUUGUUCAACGAUUAAUAGUCCUACGUGA